UACGUAGGGUGCAAGCGUUGUCCGGAAUUAUUGGGCGUAAAGAGCUCGUAGGCGGUCUGUCGCGUCUGGUGUGAAAAUCCAGGGCUUAACCCUGGACCUGCAUCGGGUACGGGCAGACUAGAGUGCGGUAGGGGAGAUCGGAAUUCCUGGUGUAGCGGUGAAAUGCGCAGAUAUCAGGAGGAACACCGGUGGCGAAGGCGGAUCUCUGGGCCGUAAACUGACGCUGAGGAGCGAAAGCAUGGGGAGCGAACAGG
rnacentral:rRNA from 1 species